UACGGGGGGGGCAAGCGUUGUUCGGAAUUACUGGGCGUAAAGGGCGCGUAGGCGGCCAACUAAGUCACACGUGAAAUCCCCAGGCUUAACCUGGGAACUGCAUCCGAUACUGGAUGGCUUGAAUCCGGGAGAGGGAUGCGGAAUUCCAGGUGUAGCGGUGAAAUGCGUAGAUAUCUGGAGGAACACCGGUGGCGAAGGCGGCGAUCCUGGACCGACACUGACACUGAGGAGCGAAAGCCAGGGGAGCAAAGCGGG
rnacentral:rRNA from 1 species